AAACACGGACCAAGGAGUUUAUCGUGUGCGCAAGUCAUUGGGUGUUGAAAACUCAAAGGCGCAAUGAAAGUAAAGAAUCCGCAAGGAUACGACGUGUGAUCUGAGCAAUCACGAUUGCCUGGAGCAACAUGGCCCCAUUCUGGUCGCUUGCGACGGGGUGGAGGAAGAGCGUACGCGGUGAGACCCGAAAGAUGGUGAACUAUUCCUGAGCAGGAUGAAGCCAGAGGAAACUCUGGUGGAAGUCCGAAGCGAUUCUGACGUGCAAAUCGAUCGUCUGACUUGGGUAUAGGGGCGAAAGACUAAUCGAACCAUCUAGUAGCUGGNUCCUUC
rnacentral:rRNA from 1 species